ACGAACGCUGGCGGCGUGCUUAACACAUGCAAGUCGAACGGAAAGGCCCUGCUUGCAGGGUGCUCGAGUGGCGAACGGGUGAGUAACACGUGGGUGAUCUGCCCCUUACUUUGGGAUAAGCCUGGGAAACUGGGUCUAAUACUGGAUAGGACCAUGCUGUAGGUGGUGUGGUGGAAAGAUUAGUUUCGGUAAGGGAUGAGCUCGCGGCCUAUCAGCUUGUUGGUGGGGUAAUGGCCUACCAAGGCGUCGACGGGUAGCCGGCCUGAGAGGGUGGACGGCCACAUUGGGACUGAGAUACGGCCCAGACUCCUACGGGAGGCAGCAGUGGGGAAUAUUGCACAAUGGGCGCAAGCCUGAUGCAGCGACGCCGCGUGGGGGAUGACGGCCUUCGGGUUGUAAACUCCUUGCAGCCAUGACGAAGCCCUUGUGGUGACGGUAGUGGUAGAAGAAGCACCGGCUAACUACGUG
rnacentral:rRNA from 1 species